rnacentral:rRNA from 1 species
CAGCCGCCGCGGUAAUACGAAGGGGGCUAGCGUUGUUCGGAUUUACUGGGCGUAAAGGGCGCGUAGGCGGGCGAAUAAGUCAGGGGUGAAAUCCCAAGGCUCAACCUUGGAACUGCCUUUGAUACUGUUUGUCUUGAGUUCGAGAGAGGUAAGUGGAACUGCGAGUGUAGAGGUGAAAUUCGUAGAUAUUCGCAAGAACACCAGUGGCGAAGGCGGCUUACUGGCUCGAAACUGACGCUGAGGCGCGAAAGCGUGGGGAGCAAACAGGAUUAGAUACCCCGGUAGUCCCUGUCUCUUAUAC